CGAGCUGACGCCUGCCCGGUGCUGGACGGUUAAAAGGAGAUGUGCAAGCAUUGAAUUGAAGCCCCAGUGUACGGCGGCCGUAACUAUAACGGUCCUAAGGUAGCGAAAUUCCUUGUCAGGUAAGUUCUGACCCGCAUGAAAGGCGUAAUGAUCUGGGCACUGUCUCAACAGCCCGCCCGGCGAAAUUGUAGUACCGGUGAAGAUGCCGGUUACCCGCGACAAGACGGAAAGACCCCAUGGAGCUUUACUGUAGCCUGAUAUUGGGUUUCGGUGUUGCAUGCACAGGAUAGAUGGGACACUGGGAAGCGAGCGCUUUGGCGUUCGUGGAGUGGACGUUGGGAUACCAUCCUUGCGACAUUGGAAUUCUAACCUGCGCCUCUGAAUCGAGGCGGGGGACAUUGUCAGGUGGGCAGUUUGACUGGGGCGGUCGCCUCCUAAAAAGUAGCGGAGGCGUUCAAAGGUUCGUUCGAUCUGGACGGAAACCAGAUGAAUGAGUGCAAACGCAUAAACGAGCCUGACUGCGAGACUGACGGGUCGAGCAGAGACGAAAGUCGGAGUUAGUGAUCCGGUGGUAUGUGAGUGGAAAUGCCAUCGCUCAACGGAUAAAAGUUACCCUGGGGAUAACAGGCUGAUCUCCCCCAAGAGUCCACAUCGACGGGGAGGUUUGGCACCUCGAUGUCGGCUCAUCGCAUCCUGGGGCUGAAUUCGGUCCCAAGGGUUUGGCUGUUCGCCAAUUAAAGCGGUACGCGAGCUGGGUUCAGAACGUCGUGAGACAGUUCGGUCCCUAUCUGUCGUGGGCGCAGGAUAUUUGAAAGGCGCUGUCCCUAGUACGAGAGGACCGGGAUGGACGAACCUCUGGUGCACCAGUUGUCACGCCAGUGGCACAGCUGGGCAGCUAUGUUCGGAUCGGAUAAACGCUGAAAGCAUCUAAGCGUGAAGCCGGCCUUAAGAUAAGAUAUCCCACUGAGUCAAUCAGGUAAGACCCCUUGAAGACUACAAGGUUGAUAGGCACACAGUGUAAGUGAAGUGAUUCAUUCAGCUAGCGUGUACUAAUAGGUCGAGGGUUUGACCC
rnacentral:rRNA from 1 species